AACGCACCUUGCGCCCCUUGGCAUUCCGAGGGGCACACCCGUUUGAGUGUCGUGAAAUCAUCAAAACCUUUUCUUUGAUCCUUUUUGGUCGGGAAAAGGAUUUUGGACUUGGAGGUUCCAUGCUCGCUUUCUUUCGAAAGCGAGCUCCUCUCAAAUGAAUUAGUGGGGUCCGCUUUGCUGAUCCUUGACGUGAUAAGAUGCUUCUACGUUUUGGAUUUGGCACUGUCCCAUGGAUGCCUGCUCCUAACUGUCUCAUGGACAAUGAUGGUGCUCCGGUCACCGCCGUCUACGUUGGCGGGGGGAGGCUGGACCCACAAAAAGAAAACCUUGACCUCAAAUCGGGUGAGACUACCCGCUGAACUUAA
rnacentral:misc_RNA from 1 species